rnacentral:rRNA from 1 species
UACAGAGGGUGCGAGCGUUAAUCGGAUUUACUGGGCGUAAAGCGUGCGUAGGCGGCUUAAUAAGUCGGAUGUGAAAUCCCCGAGCUUAACUUGGGAAUUGCAUACGAUACUGUUAAGCUAGAGUAUGGGAGAGGAUGGUAGAAUUCCAGGUGUAGCGGUGAAAUGCGUAGAGAUCUGGAGGAAUACCGAUGGCGAAGGCAGCCAUCUGGCCUAAUACUGACGCUGAGGUACGAAAGCAUGGGGAGCAAAC